CUCAUGGGAUUCUCUCUCUUUCUCUGCUCCCCUCGCUCACUUAUGCCCUCCCUCUCUCAAAAUAGAUAGUGGCCUUUCUCUCAAGGCCACUGACUUGGCCUUGAAAGCUCAAAGCUCUCCAACAGACGUGGGCAGAUUCGGCCUCUGUCUCUCCCUGUGCGUACUCAGGGUGGUGAACCACCUCGGUGUCAGUGCCUCGUGCCUUCUGCCCGGUGAAGGGAGCGCCCAGGGUAGCUCUGCAGUCUUCCCUUGGUGAUUUUUGUACACGCAGUGCAGCUGGGCCGGCCCCGUGUCGCACCGAGCUCCAGGAUCGGUGACAAUGGACAAUGCAUCUUCAUCCUGACUUGUGUGGCAGAAAGCAGAGCAACCUCUGUGGCCUACAGCCGGAUGCCUCUGGGACCCCGGACCGCUGUGUCCCGCGGAGGGUCUGUCCUCGGUGUCUCCUUGAGGCCCCGGGGACAGUGCUGUGGCCUUCACCUGCGCGGUCCAGGACGCAGUCAGUAACAGCGGCUCCCUCCCUGUCUCAGCGCCGCCCUUGUGUGCAGGGCCAGGGAUCCUGGGAGGGGACACGGUCGGGGAGACAGUGUUCGGACCCGGAGGCAAACCAAUCCUGGCUGCUGGGAUUUAGGGACCUUACAGCGAACGACUGUGUGUCCUCUCUGCAGAUCAGGUCCCCAAGGCUGCAGGGCCCUGGCCCCUCCGGAGCCUGGAUAACUCUGCCUAUUUGUCACCGCCACCAAGGAUUUCAC